GACGAAGGUGGCGACCGUUGUUCGGAAUCACUGGGCAUAAAGCGCGUGUAGGCGGCCUUGUAAGUCCGUUCUGAAAGCCCGGGGCUCAACCCCGGGAGGCGGAUGGAUACUGCAAGGCUCGAGUCCGGGAGAGGCGAGUGGAAUUCCCGGUGUAGCGGUGAAAUGCGCAGAUAUCGGGAGGAACACCAAUGGCGAAGGCAGCUCGCUGGGACGGUACUGACGCUGAGACGCGAAAGCGUGGGGAGCAAACAGG
rnacentral:rRNA from 1 species